CUUUUAGAAAUAGAGAAACUUUAAUACUCUGGCAGAGCAAGAUUAUUGAUACUUUAUUUUUCAAAACUAAAAGAAAUUAAAUUCGAAAUAGAAUUCUUCUGAAACUUAGCUAAAUGUUUUAUUAAUAAUAAAAUUAAAGUGGUGCUUAAAAUCUCAAAAACUAGACCAUGAAAAGUAUAACUAACUAGAAUAUCAUGAAAAUUGGGAAAUAAAAAUACUAGUGAAACUACUGGGCAAGGUAGGUAAGGCUUUGUGGAGAAUGGCUCCAUUGGUGGGUCUGUGGUUACUUUGGAGAGAAAGGUAGUCGUUGCUUCAGAAAUAUAAGUGGGCAAAUUUUGGAGGGUGCUUGAGAAGGCAAAAUCAAGCAUAAUGGAAUGGGCAAAAGCUUCAAAUGUAAGUGAGCUUUAGACAGGGACUAUGUUGGAUAUGUGUAUUUGGCAUGGUCACUUUAAUGUGUUAUGUGUUUUGUUUUUUUUUUUUUUUUCCUUUUCACAUGUAUUUAUUGUAUGGUUUAUAUAUGAAAUGGUCGUUGCUAGAAUGGAAUGGCGGAAAAGGAUUAAUGUAGCCGACCCCAAUUAGUUGGGAUAAGGCUUAAUGAUGAUGAUGUUGAUGAUUGAGAUGUCUUUGUAUGAGGUGAUGGUUCUUACCAUACAGGUUUGCCAUGCACGCAUUUCUACCUCUAUUGCUCAACUAGGUUUGACUGAGCUUCACUUUGGACUUAUUCCUGCAUUAGGAGUUGAAUCCAUGGCCUGCAUCACUUAGGUCAUAACUAGGGAGCUUGGUCAUUAUGAUUGGUAGGAGUUGUCAUUAAGAGUAACUCUUUGCUCCCCAUCAUGCAUGGUUGUAUACUUGUGGAGUUCCAUCCAUUGACUUGACUUGCUGCAUCAGUCGUGCCGGUUUCCAACUUCCUUGCUAGAUGGAUAAAAGGCCAUUGCAAGAGCUUCAAGAAAAAAGGACUGCUUGGAACAGACCAUAUUCCUACAAUUGUUAGGAAAAUGGACAUUCCAUAUUUCUUGUAUGAAAUGGGAUUAAGUCUCCUACUAGUUGGAUGAGUUGGUGAAGAUUGCAUAGCGUGUGUGAGCGAUUCAGGGGUGCAGUUUUUGGUAGUAUUGAAAGGUAAAAU